AUGCUCAGAAGCAAUGAGCAAAGAGAGAUAAGGUUGCAGCAAUGGAUGCAAGUGAUACCAGAAACAGUAUUGGUGAUAGCAGUGACUUGCCAAGAUCCCCUGGAAAGACAUCUAUCAGUGCUUUUUUCUGUAAGCUGGCUCUUCACCCUAUGUACACAGCAGACAAGAAACCCAGAAAAGAGGUUUCAAAGCAGUCUAAAUCUGUGUCGGAAAGGUAACACUGGUGUGUGUUGUGUCAAGUGAACUUUCAUUAAUAAAAAGAGCAGUAUUGUGUAUGUGUGUUGCUGA
rnacentral:lncRNA from 1 species